rnacentral:tRNA from 1 species
GGUUGUGGCUCAGUGGUCGAGUGCUUGCUUAGCACGCAUGAGGCACUGGGUUUGAUCCCUGGCACCA